UACGUAGGGUGCAAGCGUUAAUCGGAAUUACUGGGCGUAAAGCGUGCGCAGGCGGUUUUGUAAGACUGUCGUGAAAUCCCGGGCUUAACCUGGGAAUGGCGAUGGUGACUGCAAGGCUAGAGUUUGGCAGAGGGGGGUAGAAUUCCACGUGUAGCAGUGAAAUGCGUAGAGAUGUGGAGGAACACCGAUGGCGAAGGCAGCCCCCUGGGUCAAAACUGACGCUCAUGCACGAAAGCGUGGGGAGCAAACAGG
rnacentral:rRNA from 1 species